rnacentral:piRNA from 1 species
GAGAAUGUCUGCCAAAUGGAAUCCA